GUCAAUUUAUUUCAGUACUCAUACAUUAUAUAGAUUCAUUAAACACAAAAUACAUUUCAGAUGGCAAAUCUGUGCCUGAUUUCUACAUUAAAAAUUAUUUACAGGCCAGCAUUUCAGCGACCUGGUUGAGAACAGAUAUAGAUAUCUGGAUUGUAUCCACAUACAACAAUUGGUCUUAUUGCUGUUUUUCAUGCUUGUCUAUUUAUGUCUGCUAAUGUUUUGUAACUCAUGCAUGCUCAGCUAACUUUAGAAGAUGCCGCAGCUGGCCAAUCAGUCAUGUGGCUAUUUUAGUUGCUGAGUAACUGCAUGCUUUUGGAGAUAAAGCAGGCAGUGACUGCUGGUGUUCUGUGUGUUUGGCUGCUUGGGAGCACAGCUUCAUUUUAGAAAACUCAAACUGCAUUCAGUGAAAUUUAUUUUUUAUUUUUUUGCUUUCUAUAAGGACAUAAAUAAGGAUGGCGGCAAGAACAGACAAAGAAACAGGAAAUGAAACAAACGCUACAGCUCAGCCCCUAAAUCAGACACAUGAUACUGAUGCUGGGUCAUCCACCUCUUCCAUUGCUGAAGAACAGCUCACCAGGUCGGUUGAAAGGAGCACCCAAAACCCUAAAGAUCAGUCUUCUACUGAUACAGCAAAGGAAAAGGCUUUAAAACCAACCUUUCAACUGACUUUUACCACAUUCACAGUAAAAAGUGGUGAAGAUUUGAAAGUAGACAUACCAGUGUUAGGGAAUCCAGCCCCAAAAAUAGAAUGGAAAAAAGAUGGACAGGCUGUAAAAGAGACAUCCAGGUUGGACAUCUCAACUACAUCAUCAAUGACAGUUCUUCAUAUCAGACACGCUACCAGGGAGCACGUUGGUCAAUACUCCAUCACAGCAAGUAACAAGGCUGGAAACUAUACUGGAGAAAUCACGGUGGUGGUUCUUGAAAAGCCUGACUCACCCAUAGGGCCUGUGAGGAUUGAUGAGGUCAGUUCUGACUAUGUGUCAAUUUCUUGGGAGCCACCCGCAUACACAGGAGGCUGUCAGCUUGACAACUACGUUGUGGAGAAACGUGAACUUACUAAUAUGGAGUGGCAAACUGUAUCCGCAACGACAGUGCGAACUGCAAUCAAAGUCACUAAACUAAAGACUGGUAAUGAGUAUCAAUUCAGAGUGUUUGCAGAAAAUAGGUAUGGAAAGAGUACAGCAAUUACAUCUUCAGUUGUACUUGCACAGUACUCAUUUAGUGUGCCCAUGGCUACUGCUACGCCUUUUGUUUCCACAGUGACAAAGUACAGCAUGUUAGUUGAAUGGGCAACCCCAGGCAGAGAUGGAGGAAGCCCUGUCACUGGCUAUCACUUGGAACGAAAGGAAAAAAACAGCAUCUUAUGGACCAAGCUGAACAAAUUUGCCAUACCUGACACCCGGUUCAAAACGACUGGCCUGGAGGAAGGCAUUGAGUAUGAAUUCAGAGUCUUUGCUGAGAAUAUUGCUGGACUCAGUCCGUCAAGCAACAUAUCUGACUGCUAUGUGGCGAGAGAUCCCUGUGAUCCACCUGGUAAACCUGAAGCAGUUGUUAUUACAAAAGAGAAUAUCACACUCCAGUGGGCAAAACCUGGCUAUGAUGGUGGCAGCUCUAUUACAGGCUAUGUUGUUGAGAAGAAAGAGCUUCCAGAUGGCCGAUGGAUGAAAGCAAACUUCACAAAUGUUAUUGAAAAUCAGUUCACAGUUACAGGUUUGACAGGAGGCCAAAGUUAUCAGUUCAGAGUAACUGCCAAGAAUGGUGCAGGUGUUUGGAGCAAACCUUCUGAAAAUAUAACCAUCUUUGCUGAAGAUGUAAUUGAAGGACCCUCUGUGUUCAUGGACCCCAAGUUCAGGAGUACAAUUGUUGUUCAUGGUGGCGAAACAUUUACAAUUGAAGCUGAUUACUUUGGAAAGCCCCUUCCUGAUGUAAGGUGGCUGAAGGAUGGUGAGGAAAUCAACAAAGCUACGCCAAGAACAGAUGUAAAAAACACCCUCACUCAUACAACACUAACUAUCAGGGACUGUACACGAGUGGAUGGGGGACGCUUUGUCCUAAGUCUUACGAACAUCGAUGGAACAACAUCAAUGCCAGUUAAUGUGAAGGUACUCGAUAGACCAAGUUCCCCAGACGGACCUUUGAGGGUGAAAGUUGUCAGUGGUGAAAAAUGUCAUCUUCAUUGGAACCCCCCUUCCAAUGAUGGCGGUGCCAGUAUUUCACAUUACAUUGUUGAAAAAAGGGAGACCAGCCGUGUCACAUGGACAGGGGUUGAUCCCCAUGUGGAAGCUGUCAGUUACAAAGCAACAAAGCUGACACCCGGGAGAGAAUACAUAUUCCGCGUUUGUGCUGUAAACAAAUUUGGUGUAGGGGAAUUUCUGGAAUCAGAACCUUUCAUUGCACAAAAUCUUUUCAAAACACCAAGUGCUCCUUCUACCCCUAUCGCCAGUGCUGUGACUGGAGACUCUGUAAUGUUGACAUGGGAAAGACCCAAGACGGACGGGGGCGCCGAGAUUGAUGGCUACAUCCUGGAGAAACUUGAUAAAGAGGGUGUCAGAUGGACUAAAUGCAACAAGAGAAGACUGAAUGACUUGCGUUUCAGAUGUACAGGACUCACGAAGGGACAUUAUUAUCAGUUUAGAGUAUCGGCAGAGAAUACUGCUGGUGUUGGUGCACCCAGUGAGGCAAGUAAUUAUAUUAAGGUGUGUGACCCAUCAUACCCUCCUGGUCCCCCUACCAACCUCAAAGUGACAGACUAUUCAUGCAGUACUGUCUCGCUAUCCUGGUCUAAGUCUGUCUAUGAUGGUGGAGCUCCCAUUACUGGAUAUGUUGUGGAGAUGAAAGAAGCAGCAGACGAUGAGUGGAUCACAUGCACACCAAACACAGAAGAUACAAAGGACACCAUAAAAGGUCUGAGACAAAAUGCAGAGUACAACUUCCGUGUACGUGCAACAAAUGCCAAUGGAGUUGGUGAGCCUGUGGAAUUACCAGGGUCUGUGGUCGCAGCUGAAAAACUAGAGCAACCUGAAGUUGAGUUGGACACAGCUUUGAGAAAGCUAGUUAGUGUUCGAGCCUGUUCAACAUUACGUCUCUAUGUACCCAUCAGAGGAAGUCCAGAACCUGAGGUCCAAUGGUCAAAGGAAGGUGGUCUUCUCAGUGAGCAUGCACAAAUAGAAGUGACAGGCUCCUAUACAUUGUUGAUGAUUGAAAAUGUAAAUAGAAAUGACACUGGAAAGUAUGUAUUGACUGCUACUAACUGCAAGGGCUCUAAAUCAGCAUUUAUCAAUGUUCGAGUGUUGGAUACCCCCAGUGCACCAACAAACCUGCAAGUGAAAGAUGUACAGAGAGAUUCUGUGCACAUCUCCUGGGGUGCUCCUCUCAUUGAUGGAGGAGCAGAGAUCUCCCAUUAUGCCGUGGAAAAGAGAGAGGAUGCGAGGAAGGUAUUCACAAGUGUCUGUAGUAACUGUACAAGGAACACAUAUAAAAUUGACAAGCUCCAGGAGGGAUGUUUUUAUUACUUCCGCGUCUUGGCUGUAAACGAGUAUGGAAGUGGACAAGCAGUCGAAACAAAUGAGCCUGUUAAAGUGUCUGAAGUGCCUCUUCCACCUGGGAAAAUCACACAGAGUGAUCUCACCAGUGACAGUGUACGACUCUCGUGGGAAAAGCCAGAUCAUGAUGGAGGAAGCAAAAUUACAUGUUACAUUGUAGAAAUCAAGGAAAAGGGACAUGACACAUGGAGAACCUGUUCUGAGAGUAAAACGCUGGAAACAGUAAUUAAUGGACUGACAAAAGGAAUGGACUAUUUAUUCAGAGUCAGCGCUGUGAAUGAAAAGGGGAAGAGUGAACCAAAGCUCCUCUCGACACCUGUUAUUUUUAAAGACACAAGUGCUCAACCUGUUAUUAAUUUGCUGUCCGCCACAUUCAGUGUGAAAGCAGGGAAAGAUUUAAGGAUUGAUGUGCCAUUUAAGGGUGUACCACAGCCAAUAGUAACCUGGAAAAAAGAUGGCAACAUCCUCAAAGAAACCUGCAGGGUAAACGUGUGUACAUUGGAUAUGUCAUCUCAACUCAUGAUCAAAGAUGCAACUCGGAUAGAUGUUGGUUUGUAUGCGGUAACUGUGACCAAUUCCGCUGGAACUGCAUCUGCUGAAAUCCAUGUUAAUGUUUUCGAAAAACCUGGGCCACCAUGUGACCUCACUGUAGAAGAAGUGAGCGCGGACUUUGUGUCUCUGAUAUGGCAACCCCCGCAUUAUAGUGGGGGAUGUCAAAUCUCUAAUUAUGUUGUUGAGAAGAGAGAUACAGACAGCACAAUAUGGCAGACUGUGUCAGCCACCGUGGCGAGGACUUCUAUAAAAAUAUCCCGUCUGACACAGGGUAAUGAAUAUCACUUUCGUGUUGCUACAGAGAAUCGCUAUGGCAGGAGCUCCUUUGUUGAGUCUGAACCUGUUGUUGCCCAAUAUCCUUUCAAGGUCCCCAGUCCACCAACCAAUAUCUCUGUUGUGAGUGCCUCAAAGUCUAUCAUGGUUGUUACAUGGAGCCCAGCAAGGAAUGAUGGUGGCAGCCCUGUUAUUGGCUAUCAUAUUGAAUGCAAAGAUCAAAGUAGUAUUCUGUGGACAAAGUUAAACAAAGGUUCAGUGACAGAAAACAGAUUCAAAGUUACAAGCAUUGACGAAGGCCUCAUAUAUGAGUUCCGGGUGUAUGCUGAGAAUAUCGCUGGUGUAGGUCCCUGCAGUAAAGCCUCUGAGCCUGUUGCAGCAAGAGACCAGUGUGAGCCCCCACACAACCUCACAGUGACCAGUAUAACCAACACUUCAGUUUCCCUCUCAUGGGACAAACCACAAUACGACGGUGGGGCUAAAAUAACUAGUUUCAUCGUAGAGCGCAAAGAGCUUCCUGAUAGUUGUUGGCUUAAGUGUAACUUCACUAGCUUACUCGAUACAUUUUUGGAGGUGACUGGUCUCACAGAGGGUGAACAGUAUGACUUCAGGGUCCUUGCAAAGAAUGCAGCUGACUUCUUCAGUGCACCCUCUGAGGCUACAGGCCCUGUCACUGUGCAGCAUGAAGUGGAGCCACCUAAAAUUAUCAUAGAGGACAAAUUUAGACAGGUUUUGGUUGUCAAAGUGGGUGACCUUCUAAGAAUAGAUGCUGACAUCUCUGGCCGCCCCAACCCUACAGUGUUGUGGUCAAAGAAUGGUAGAACUAUUGGCACAAAGGGUAGGGUUGACAUUACAGCAACAAAGGCGCAUACAUCUCUACUUAUCCGUGAAAGCGUUCGGAAAGACUCUGGACAGUAUAUUCUGACCCUACAAAGUACUGCGGGUACUACAUCUAUUGUUAUUACAUGUAGAGUCUUAGACAGCCCUGGCCCUCCAGCUGGACCCCUGCAAGUAUCUGGACUUUCAGCAGAGAAAGUCACCUUAUCAUGGGGACCCCCUCACGAAACAGGUGGCGCAGAGAUCAUGCAUUACAUUGUUGAGAAGUGUGAAACCAGCCGUGUAGCCUGGACUCUUAUCUAUAGUGACUUGAUGACAACUACCUGCAAAAUAACCAAGCUGCUCAAAGGAAAUGAAUACCUCUUUAGGGUGAAGGCAGUGAACAAGUAUGGUGAGGGGGAGACUUUGGAAAGUGAUCCCAUCAAGGCAGCCGACCCCUACACCAUCCCAUCUGCUCCAAUGGAUGUUGAAGUCACAAGUACAACGAGUGAAGCUAUGGCUAUCUGCUGGAAGAGACCAGUAUCUGAUGGCGGAAGCCGAAUUAGUGGGUACAUCAUUGAGAAGCGCGACAAGCAGGGCAUUCGUUGGAUACGUGUUAAUAAGAAGCCUGUCUACGACCUACGAGUCAAAGCCUCUGGCUUACAUGACGGAUGUGAAUAUGAAUUCCGUGUUUUUGCAGAGAAUGCUGCAGGGCUAAGUGAACCCAGUCUACCAUGUCGUCUCACCAUGGCAGAAGAUCCAAAGUUUCUGCCGUCCCCUCCCGAAAAGCCUAUAGUUCUCGAUUCUUCAAAGUCCUCAAUCACUCUGUCAUGGAACAAGCCAGUGUUUGAUGGUGGAGCGCCAGUUACUGGGUACAAAGUUGAAUUCAGAAAAAAUGCAGAAGACGUCUGGGCUGUUGGCACUCAAAACACAGAUAAGACUGUGUUCAAAGUAUCUGGGCUCACCUCAGGGACAGAAUAUGUAUUUGUUGUUAGAUCAAUAAAUAAGGUAGGCAUCAGUGAGGCCAGUCCUGAAACAAAUCCAUAUGCAGCUGUGGACAGAGAAGAGGAACCCAGGUUUGACAUUAGCACUGAUAUGAAGAAGACCCUCCAUGUUAAAGAAGGAAGCACCUUCACCCUCACCGUGCCUUUCACUGGCAAACCUGCUCCCAGUGUGAUUUGGGAAAAAGCGAAUGUGGAUCUAAGAAUUAGAGGACUGAUCAACACCACCAGCUACGUCACUUCCAUUACCGUGGAAAAAGUAACUCGCGAUGAUACAGGCAAAUACAUAGUCAAACUUCAAAAUGGUGUCGGGAAUGCCUCUUUGACUCUAAGUGUGAAAGUUCUAGAUUCCCCUGGUCCACCAACACAUUUAGCUGUUAAAGAUGUUACCAAGAAUUCUGCCACAGUUACUUGGGACAUCCCUGAGAAUGAGGGAGGAGCCUCCGUUAAGAACUACCUUGUUGACAUGCUGGACAUUAGCAGAAAAGGAUGGACAAGACUCACAAACAGAUGCCACAGAUUGUCCUACAAGGUGACUGAUCUGGAGGAGGGAGGGAUCUACUACUUUAGAGUCACUGCUGAAAAUGAGUUUGGCAUCGGUGUUCCGGCUGAGAUGAGGGAAGGAACAAGAAUGACAGAUUCGACAAACUGGGAAACAAAUCCGGGAGCUUAGUUGGUCACUUCUCCAGAGUUGAGCUGACUAUCUUCGACAUGUGGAGUAGAUUGCUGAGUUAUUCCAACUUUGCUCGGUUUCAAAAACUCCAUGACACGGUCUGCAUUACGGCGCCAUCGGGGAUGCGUUCACAUAGCCAUGUCUCCAUGAAGCACAGGGUGGCAGAACGUCUUAAGUCUUUACCGGUCUUUGUGAGAAAACGAAGCUCGUCCAUUUUGUUGGGUAGAGAGCAUAGAUUUGCGAGGUGAAUCGAAGGGAGCAGCAUUCGGAAUCCUCUCUUAAGGAGCUUGACAUGCACUCCGUCUCGCUUCCCUCUGCGCCGUCGCCUUCGCCCCCUCCAUGCGCCACAGACCGCAGCCGUUCUGCUGGAACUGACUUUUUUAACAAAACAAGAAAUUCUUC